rnacentral:rRNA from 1 species
CGCCAGAACCGAGGCUUGGAGUACUAACCUCCGGGUCCGGGCUGUCUUCCCCUUCGGGGGGUGGGAUGCCUGGGCCUGUUGGGACCGAUCCUUGUAGUAGGUCAGCGCA